CUUUCCUUCUCUUUUCCCCUGAUGUUGUAUAAAUGAGGAAUUGCAGCAGUCCUGUUUCACUUGUGCAGUUUUGUUUCAUGGAAAACUUGGGCUUCACGAURUCUGGAGAUUUGAAUGUGUGCACAUGCAGAUUGAAGCUAAAAAGGUGGGAGCUGGAGCAGCUAAAAUACCAGAACCAAGCUGAACGUGGAAUGGCACCAUAUGAAGUUCAAUAUUGACACAAAUUAGCAAAACCAUCAGAAAUCUGAGACAGGAUCUACCCCAGUAA